UUGAAAUAAACCUGAUGGGUUGUUGCUGGUUCUCUCGGGAGCAUGUGCACACCUUGUCAUCUUUAUAUCUCCACCUGUGCACCUUUUGUAGACCUGAAAAGGUCUAUGUUGCUUCAUUUACCCCAAUGUAUGUUAAUAGAAUGUUGUGCCUUUAUAAUGUAUA
rnacentral:misc_RNA from 1 species